rnacentral:tRNA from 5 species
AGUCCCGUUGUGUAGCGGUCCAUCAUCUCUGGUUUUGGUCCAGGGGACGGAGGUUCGAAUCCUCCCGGGACUACCA